GUAGGGAAUAUUGGGCAAUGGAGGCAACUCUGACCCAGCCAUGCCGCGUGCAGGAAGACGGCCCUCUGGGUUGUAAACUGCUUUUAUCUGGGAAGAAAAAGGCCAUGCGUGGCAAAUUGCCGGUACCAGAUGAAUAAGCACCGGCUAACUCCGUGCCAGCAGCCGCGGUAAUACGGAGGGUGCAAGCGUUGUCCGGAUUUAUUGGGUUUAAAGGGUGCGUAGGCGGCUGAUUAAGUCAGCGGUGAAAGACUCCGGCUUAACCGGAGCAGUGCCGUUGAUACUGGUUAGCUUGAGUGUUGGAGGGGUACAUGGAAUUGAUGGUGUAGCGGUGAAAUGCAUAGAUACCAUCAGGAACACCGAUAGCGAAGGCAUUGUACUGGCCAACAACUGACGCUGAUGCACGAAAGUGUGGGGAUCGAACAGGAUUAGAUACCCCGGUAGUCC
rnacentral:rRNA from 1 species